GACGAACGCUGGCGGCGUGCCUAACACAUGCAAGUCGAACGGAAAGACCCUGCUUUUGUGGGGUGCUCGAGUGGCGAACGGGUGAGUAACACGUGAGUAACCUGCCCUUGCCUUUGGGAUAACUUCAGGAAACUGGGGCUAAUACCGGAUAGGAGCUCCUGCUGCAUGGUGGGGGUUGGACAGUUUCGGCGGUUGGGGGUGGACUCGCGGCUUAUCAGCUUGUUGGUGGGGUAGUGGCUUACCAAGGCUUUGACGGGUAGCCGGCCUGAGCGGGUGACCGGCCACAUUGGGACUGAGAUACGGCCCAGACUCCUACGGGAGGCAGCAGUGGGGAAUAUUGCACAAUGGGCGGAAGCCUGAUGCAGCAACGCCGCGUGCGGGAUGACGGCCUUCGGGUUGUAAACCGCUUUCGCCUGUGACGAAGCGUGAGUGACGGUAAUGGGUAAAGAAGCACCGGCUAACUACGUG
rnacentral:rRNA from 1 species